UGGUGGAGUGAUUUGUCUGGUUAAUUCCGAUAACGAACGAGACCUCAGCCUGCUAACUAGUUACACGAAGAUUCUUCUCCGUGGCCAACUUCUUAGAGGGACUAUUUGGCGUCUACAGCCAAUGGAAGUUUGAGGCAAUAACA
rnacentral:rRNA from 1 species